rnacentral:rRNA from 1 species
AUUGAACGCUGGCGGCAGGCCUAACACAUGCAAGUCGAACGGAAGCACAGAGAGCUUGCUCUCGGGUGACGAGUGGCGGACGGGUGAGUAAUGUCUGGGAAACUGCCCGAUGGAGGGGGAUAACUACUGGAAACGGUAGCUAAUACCGCAUAAUGUCGCAAAACCAAAGAAGGGGACCUUCGGGCCUCUUGCCAUCGUCUGUGCUCAGUUGGGAUUAGCUUGUUGGUGAGGUAAUGGCUCACCAAGGCGACGAUCCCUAGCUGGUCUGAGAGGAUGACCAGCCACACUGGAACUGAGACACGGUCCAGACUCCUACGGGAGGCAGCAGUGGGGAAUCUUGCACAAUGGGCGCAAGCCUGAUGGAGCCAUGCCGCGUGUGUGAAGAAGGCCUUCGGGUUGUAAAGCACUGUCAGCGGGGAAGAAGGAGAGACGGUGUAUAACCGUGUUGAUUGACGUUACCCGCAGAAGAAGCACCGGCUAACUCCGUG